UACGUAGGGGGCAAGCGUUGUCCGGAAUUAUUGGGCGUAAAGAGCGUGUAGGCGGUCCGGUAAGUCGGUUGUGAAAGUCCAGGGCUCAACCCUGGGAUGCCGGUCGAUACUGCCGGACUAGAGUUCGGAAGAGGCGAGUGGAAUUCCCCGGUGUAGCGGUGAAAUGCGCAGAUAUCGGGAGGAACACCUAUGGCGAAGGCAGCUCGCUGGGACGUUGACU
rnacentral:rRNA from 1 species